UACAGAGGAGCCAAGCGUUGUCCGGAUUGACUGGGCGUAAAGCGCACGCAGGCGGUUGCGCGCGUGGGGUGUGAAAUCUGGCCGCUUAACGGCCAGGCGCCAUCCCAUACGGCGCGACUGGAGCGAUGCAGAGGUCGGUGGAAUUGCCGGUGUAGUGGCGAAAUGCGUAGAGAUCGGGAGGAACACCUGUGGCGAAGGCGGCCGUCUGGGCCGACCCUGACGCUGAGGCGCGAAGGCGUGGGGAGCGAACGGG
rnacentral:rRNA from 1 species